rnacentral:rRNA from 1 species
UGGGGAAUAUUGCACAAUGGGCGAAAGCCUGAUGCAGCGACGCCGCGUGAGGGAUGACGGCCUUCGGGUUGUAAACCUCUUUCAGUAGGGACGAAGCGCAAGUGACGGUACCUGCAGAAGAAGCACCGGCUAACUACGUGCCAGCAGCCGCGGUAAUACGUAGGGUGCGAGCGUUGUCCGGAAUUACUGGGCGUAAAGAGCUCGUAGGCGGUUUGUCACGUCGUCUGUGAAAUCCUAGGGCUUAACCCUGGACGUGCAGGCGAUACGGGCUGACUUGAGUACUACAGGGGAGACUGGAAUUUCUGGUGUAGCGGUGGAAUGAACAGAUAUCAGGAAGAACACCGAUGGCGAAGGCAGGUCUCUGGGUAGUAACUGACGCUGAGGAGCGAAAGCAUGGGUAGCGAACAGG